GUCAGGGCAGCGCCGCUGUCGUCGUUAAGAGGUGGGUAGCAUGCUUGGUCCGUAAUGAUUGGGCGUAAAUGGCUCGUAGGAGGUCCGGCACGUCAGCGGUGAAAACCCAGGGGUCAGCCCUGGGCGUGCAGUGGAUACGGGCAGACUAGAGGGAGGUAGGGGAGACUGGAAUUCCCGGUGUAGCGGUGAAAUGCGCAGAUAUCGGGAGGAACACCGGUGGCGAAGGCGGUUCUCUGGGCCUUACCUGACGCUGAGGAGCGAAAGCGUGGGGAGCGAACAGGAUUAGAUACCCGGGUAGUC
rnacentral:rRNA from 1 species